rnacentral:rRNA from 1 species
AAAAAGGACCAUGUCGCUGCUCUAAGCCUGAUUUCGUCUGAUUUUAGAAGCUAAGCAGUACUUCUGGUUAGUACUUGGAUGGGAGACUGCUGGGAGUACAGGUGUAUA